ACUCCUACGGGAGGCAGCAGUGGGGAAUAUUGCACAAUGGGCGCAAGCCUGAUGCAGCCAUGCCGCGUGUGUGAAGAAGGCCUUCGGGUUGUAAAGCACUUUCAGCAGUGAGGAAGGCGGAGUCGUUAAUAGCGGCCUCGUUUGACGUUAGCUGCAGAAGAAGCACCGGCUAACUCCGUGCCAGCAGCCGCGGUAAUACGGAGGGUGCGAGCGUUAAUCGGAAUUACUGGGCGUAAAGCGCAUGCAGGUGGUUUGUUAAGUCAGAUGUGAAAGCCCGGGGCUCAACCUCGGAAUAGCAUUUGAAACUGGCAGACUAGAGUACUGUAGAGGGGGGUAGAAUUUCAGGUGUAGCGGUGAAAUGCGUAGAGAUCUGAAGGAAUACCGGUGGCGAAGGCGGCCCCCUGGACAGAUACUGACACUCAGAUGCGAAAGCUGGGGAGCAAACAGGAUUAGAUACCCUGGUAGG
rnacentral:rRNA from 1 species